ensembl:miRNA
CCUGUUGCCACAAACCCGUAGAUCCGAACUUGUGGUAUUAGUCCGCACAAGCUUGUGUCUAUAGGUAUGUGUCUUUUAGG